GACGAACGCUGGCGGCGUGCUUAACACAUGCAAGUCGAACGGAAGGGCCCUGCUUUUGUGGGGUUCUCGAUUGGCGAACGGGUGAGUAACACGUGAGUAAACUGCCCUUAACUUUGGGAUAUCUUCAGGAAACUGGGUCGAAUACCGGGUAGAAGCUCCUGCUGCAUGUGGGGGGUAGGAAAGUGUCGGCGGUUGGGGCUGGUCUAGCGGGUUAUCCGCUGGUUUGGGUGGUAGGUACUGUCCAGGCGUUUGAAGGGUAGCCGGCCUGAGAGGGUGACCGGCCACAUUGGGACUGAGGUACGCCCCAGAAUGCUACGGGCGGCAGCAGGGGGGAACAUUGCAGAAUGGGCGGAAGCCUGAUGCAGCAACGCUGCGUGCGGGAUGCCGGCCUUCGGGUGGUAAACCGCUUUCGCCUGUGACGAAGCGAGAGUGACGGUAAUGGGUAAAGAAGCACCGGCUAACUACGUG
rnacentral:rRNA from 1 species